CCAUAACACUGCGAAGAGGCAUCUUUUUGCAGUUAAAGCUCCGGCGGUUUAGAUGGGCAUGCGCGACAUUAGCUAGUUGGUGAGGUAACGGCUCACCAAGCUAUGAUGUCUAGGGGUUCUGAGAGGAAAAUCCCCCACACUGGUACUGGACACGGACCAGACUCCUACGGGAGGCAGCAGUAAGGAAUAUUGGUCAAGGGCGCAAGCCUGAACCAGCCAUGCCGCGUGCAGGAUGACGGCCUUAUGGUUGUAAACUGCUUUUGUACGGGAAAAAACCCCUUUACGUGUGAAGGGUGAUGGUACCGUAAGAAUAAGGAUCGGCUAACUCCGUGCCAGCAGCCGCGGAAUACGGAGGAUCCUAGCGUUAUCCGGAUUUAUUGGGUUUAAAGGGUGCCAGGCGGAAUAAUAAGUCAGUGGUGAAAUCCUGCAGCUUAACUGCAGAAUGCCAUUGAUACUGUCAUUCUUGAGUGUAGUUGAAGUGGGCGGAAUG
rnacentral:rRNA from 1 species